UACGGGGGGGGCUAGCGUUGUUCGGAAUUACUGGGCGUAAAGAGCGCGCAGGCGGUCGAUCAAGUCGAGUGUGAAAGCCCCCGGCUCAACUGGGGAGGGUCAUUCGAUACUGAUCGACUCGAAGGCAGGAGAGGGUAGUGGAAUUCCCGGUGUAGUGGUGAAAUGCGUAGAUAUCGGGAGGAACACCAGUGGCGAAGGCGACUACCUGGCCU
rnacentral:rRNA from 1 species